rnacentral:rRNA from 1 species
GACGAACGCUGGCGGCGUGCUUAACACAUGCAAGUCGAGCGGAAAGGCCUGCUUUCCCUUGUGGAUUGCGGGUACUCGAGUGGCGAACGGGUGAGUAACACGUGAGUGAUCUGCCCCCAACUUGGGUAUAAGCCUGGGAAACUGGGUCUAAUUCCCGAUAGGACUGCAGGGUGGUGCCUGUGGUGGAAAACGAUUUUCUAGUGGUUGGGGAUGAGCUCGCGGCCUAUCAGCUUGUUGGUGGGGUAAUGGCCUACCAAGGCGGCGUCGGGUAGCCGGCCUGAGAGGGUGGACGGCCACAUUGGGACUGAGAUACGGCCCAGACUCCUACGGGAGGCAGCAGUGGGGAAUAUUGCACAAUGGGCGGAAGCCUGAUGCAGCGACGCCGCGUGGGGGAUGACGGCCUUCGGGUUGUAAACUCCUUUCGACCGCGAGGAAGCCACCUGGUUGGAAGGGUGGUGACGGUAGUGGUAGAAGAAGCACCGGCUAACUACGUG